GCAAGUCGAGCGGGGAAAGGUAGCUUGCUACCUGACCUAGCGGCGGACGGGUGAGUAAUGCUUAGGAAUCUGCCUAUUAGGGGGGGACAACAUUCCAAAAGGAAUGCUAAUACCGCAUACCCCCUACGGGGGAAAGCAGGGAAUCUUCGGACCUUGCGCUAAUAAAUGAGCCUAAGUCAAAUUAGCUAGUUGGGGGGGUAAAGGCCUACCAAGGCAACAAUCUGUAGCGGGUCUGAAAGGAUGAUCCGCCACACUGGGACUGAAACACGGCCCAAACUCCUACGGGAGGCAGCAGUGGGAAUUAUUGGACAAUGGGCGGAAGCCUGAUCCAGCCAUGCCGCGGGUGUGAAAAAGGCCUUUUGGUUGUAAAGCACUUUAAGCGAGGAGGAGGAGCUUCAGGUUAAUACCCUGGAUGCUUGGACGUUACUCGCAAAAUAAGCACCGGCUAACUCUGUG
rnacentral:rRNA from 1 species